rnacentral:rRNA from 1 species
ACAAAGGUAUUGAAAUAAGACUUUAAUUGAGUGCUAAGAGAAUGGAUUAACGGUAAAAUUCUUUUUUAAUUUCAAAAAUUGAAGUUAUUUUUGUUAGUGAAGAAACUACAAUAAAAAUUAAGGACAAGAAGACCCUAAGAAUUUUAAAUAAUUUAAAAAAAAAUUUUUUUUUAAAUUAUUUUAAUUGGGGCGAUUAAUAAAAAUAAGAAACUUUAUUUCUCCAAAAAAAUGAACCAUUAAUAAUGGCCAUAUGAAAAAAAUACUCUAGGGAUAACAGCG